rnacentral:lncRNA from 1 species
GCAGCUCCCUCCCUCUGCUGGAGCACGUGGGAAACGGGCUCAUUUUUGGCUGCACUACUUUUCUGUUUAUCUUCCUGAUUAGUUGUGAAUUCUUCUUCCAACUCCGAGUCUUCCUAGCCUGUGGGUUCCGCUUGUCUUCUUGGAUUAGAUUCUCUUCAAGACCAGGACCCCUGGAAUCCCAGCUCCAUUCCCAAGGUAAUUUCUGCAGGAAAGCAAGUUUGGCACAUUGGAUUCACAGGCCGCGGCCAUGGUGGGAGCAGGAGUGGGAGAGGGCAGCCCACUGGCCUGGGACGGGCACCUGGAACUUCUGGUGGUAAUGUUUUGAAACUUACUCAUUAUCCAGACAUGGGACAAACUCCAGUGAAUCACUAACACUCCAUGCAAUGAACUUGGGAAGACCUCUAACCACAGGGUCUCCUGCACAGGAGGAUCUCCGUGGUGUUCCUGUAUUCAGGGAUUAGUAGGUGGGAAGAGGCCAUAUGUGCGCUGUAAGCCUUGCGGUCCUCUUCCUCUUCCCUAGAGUCACUGAAGGAAGCCUUGGGCAGGCAGAGGCACUGCAGUGGAGAGAUCCUGGCACAGGGUGGCAAGGACACCAGGGACACUCAAGACAAUCUCUAACUCCUAAACCACAGAUGGUUAAAGACAGGAUGGAGCGCUGACCCAGCUUGCCAAAGGGAAGCCUGGCCCCAGGCAGCACCCAGACUGGGUCUGGCCUUUCUCCAGGGAAGCUCUCAGAGUGAGGUGGGGGCAGCCUCCGGUGGAUCCAGGAAGCAGAAGGCACAGGCACUGCAGUGGCUGACCCUCCCAAGGCCUUGGGGACAUUUACUCAGGUGGGAAGGGCUGGCGUGGUGUUAUCAGAGCUUUGUUUGACCGGCGGUCCAGGCAGUCAUAAUUCUCCUGACGUCAUGGGAUCUUCAUGGGCAGCUUGUUGGAAAAGGCCAGGGGAUCCCGCCACCCUGUGUUUGAGAACUUCUUUAAGGGUCACCUCGCAGCUGUGUAAAUACACUAUCAGGAAAACGUCCUUGUGUACCCUUUGUGCUACUGGUAAAGCAUGAAAAGCAGGAUUAUUCUCAGUAAAAAUUAAACCCUCGUGACUGACUAUGGCAGUUCUCAGGUGACUUGAUUUGUUUCUCAACUUCCAUUAUUUGCAGAAAAUUUUUUCCAGCUUACAUGUCACAUGUUACUUUUAUUUCACAUACAGUUCUGUAAGAUUUAACAAAUGGGUGAAGUCCAUUUGUAACCACCACCACCAUCAGAGUCCAUGGUGACGUUCUCCUCCCAUGCCCCUGAUGUUUCCUCCUCCAGAGUCAAACCUGCCACCCUCAUCCAGCCACUUGCAAUUCCAUCCUGGGGCUUUUCCAGAAUGCCACUUAAACUGAAUUCUAGGUGACAAAGCCUUUGAGUCUGACUUCUUUCGUUUAGCGGAAAGCAUUGGAAGACCAUUAGUGUUGCUGUAAGGGUCAGUAGUCCCUUCUUGAUAUAUGUGAGUACUAUUCCAUUUUUAGGGGCCAUAGUUUGUUUAUCCAUCCACCCAGGGAAGGGUAUGUUGGUAGGUAGAGUCCAGUUGUUGGCUAUUAUGUAUAGUUAUAAAUAUUUGGGUACAGGUUUUUAUGUAAAUUUGAAUUUUUAUUUCUCUGGAAUAAAUACCUAGGAGAGGGAUCACUGAGUCACAUGAUAUGUGUGGAUUUAAUUGCAAAAUAAACUGCCAGAUUUCCCAGAGUGGCUAUAGCAUUUUGCAUUCCUACCAGAAAAGAGUGGAGUCCAGUUGCUCCUCACCAUAGUCAGCCCUUGGAAAUUUCAGUGUUGCUUUUGUUUCUCGUCAUUCUAAUGAGUGUGUGGUAAUAUUUAAUUGUGAUUGGAAUUUCAUUCUCCAAUGACUAAUGCACACAUGAGCAUUUGUCAUGAACUACUUUGCUAUCAUAUAUGAUAUAUAUAAUAAUAUGAUAUAUAUAUGGUAUCUGUUCAAAUGUUUUGCUUCGUUUCAUUAGGUUAUUUUCUUUUGCUAAAUUUUAC